rnacentral:rRNA from 1 species
GACGAACCGUGCGAACGUUAUUCGGAAUCACUGGGCUUAAAGCGUGUGUAGGCGGAUGGGUAAGUACCUUGUGAAAUCCCACGGCUCAACCGUGGAACUGCUCGGUAUACUGCUCGUCUUGAGCCAACUAGGGGCGACCGGAACAAACGGUGGAGCGGUGAAAUGCGUAGAUAUCGUUUGGAACGCCGAUGGUGAAAACAGGUCGCUGGGGUUGUGCUGACGCUGAGACACGAAAGCCAGGGGAGCAAACGGG